GGGGGGGGGGGGGGGGGGGGGGGGGGGGGGGGGGGCGGGGGGGGGGCGGGGGGGCUGGGGGCUCGGGCGUGAGGGGCGGCGGGGGGGGGACCCCGGGGAUACCGUACCUGUGAGACGGGGAUGCCGUCGGGACACCGGGGCGACUCCCGGAUAUGUAUUUGAGUCGCAUGGUUCACUAUGGCAGGAGUGUUUUUCUUCCGCUACUAGGUGGCUCGGCGCCGCAUUAGCUAGUUGGUACGGUAACGGCUUACCAAGGCAACGAUGCGUAGCCGACCUGAGAGGGUGAUCGGCCACACUGGAACUGAGACACGGUCCAGACUCCUACGGGAGGCAGCAGUAGGGAAUCUUCCGCAAUGGGCGAAAGCCUGACGGAGCAACGCCGCGUGAGUGAUGAAGGUCUUCGGAUCGUAAAACUCUGUUAUUAGGGAAGAACAAAUGUGUAAGUAACUAUGCACGUCUUGACGGUACCGAAUCAGAAAGCCACGGCUAACUACGUG
rnacentral:rRNA from 1 species